UACGUAGGCAGCGAGCGUUGUUCGGAGUUACUGGGCGUAAAGAGUGCGUAGGCGGUGCUCUAAGUUUGGUGUGAAAUCUCCCGGCUCAACUGGGAGGGUGCGCCGAAAACUGGAGUGCUCGAGUAUGGGAGAGGUAAGCGGAAUUCCUGGUGUAGCGGUGAAAUGCGUAGAUAUCAGGAGGAACACCUGCGGUGUAGACGGCUUACUGGACCAUGACUGACGCUGAGGCACGAAAGCGUGGGGGAGCAAACAGG
rnacentral:rRNA from 1 species